GGGACAGCGUCUGCGUCCCCUCGCGGGCAGGCGGGACGCGGCGCAGCCUCGCGCGUGGGCCGCACGGGCGUCCGGGUGACCCGCCUCUGUGGGUGUCACCGCCUGCCGGCCAGCUCGCGUGGGCGUGUCUUCCCGGUCCACGAGUGUUCCCUCUAUCACUGUCGGCUUUCGUCCGGGACGACCGUUUCAGAAAUGGAGCCAUGGAGGUGAUAAGUAUGAUGCUUGUAUAAUACAUUUGGAUGUUUUCCACUAAGUUCACUUCCUAACUAUGGAGUUCUUCCAAAUGUUGGCUGACAUUUGCCCUAGCACCAAGGCUCAUCUGCAAUGCACGGUUCAUAACGGAGCUGCUGUACUGGCUAUUGGAAGGAGGAGAUUCAGAAGACAGGGAGAUAGAAGCAGCAUGGGACCAGGAAGAGUCAAGAAACUGAUAAUUUGAAUAAUGAUUUGGAAUGGAAAGAUCCCCUUCUUGCAAUUGUCUAGACUCUAUCCUAAUACCCAGAGAAGUUCAUAUUGUCUGCAGUGGACUUGGAAGCAUAAUGAGGGUUUCUGGACUGGACAUAGAGGGCAUCACAAAAUCAGUGUCAGGCUCACAGCAUCUCAGAGGAGGAUCACUGAGGUCCCCUGCCUGGUUCAGCUCCUGUUGACAUCGAGGAGAAAGGCUCUGCCUGUAAGUUCCAGCCACCAAGCAUCUGCUAUAGCUUUUGCACAGCUCCUAAAGCUGCCACGCUGGUCAUGCAGUAGAAGCAGAAAGAUGGCUCUGCAGCACAGACUACGUCAUACUAAGUUUGUCUGAGCUGGCCCGUGUGACACAACCUCCAGCAAGUAGACUCUGUCCCUGGACAGAGUUUCUGCCAGAUUCACCCACUGGAAAUAAUUUCCUAUGUGAAGUGGAUGUCAGCGGCCCUCUACUGAAGCGAAUGUCACCAGCCUGCAAAUGUCCAACAGGGAAUGGCAUUUGUCAUGCUGCUACUGUGGGUGUUUGAUGAUGUCAAUAAAGAAACAUCUACACCUUUGUUUAAAGCUCUCAGAGACUUGAAGGAUUGCUGCCUGUCAAGAAGAAACCAGGGUGAAGCACACGCUGUUGCUAUUUCGCUGAACCACUCCACAGAUGGUCCAUGGCUGCUGAGCGGAGUGAACCUCAGGAUAGACAGCACUGGACCCUACAAUGGCACCCUCACCAGCAGAUGAGGUGUGAGUGGAUCAUUCCUGGUAAUGGGUUUCCCUUCAUCUCUCUUCAUUAAAUUCCAAGCUGUUACCUAGGCUACAUCUCACUACAUCUAAUUAAGGUACUAAUCAACUUUGUUUUGAAUGGAAAGGGAAAAAAUAUGUUGAUGCUCCUGCUGGCAGAAUAGGAAACAUGCCUACUGUGGAGUAUCUUUUUGCAUCAUGGAGAAAAUUUAAUCUCUGUAGUUCUCAAAAGGGAAUAAUUAUUUUGCGGUUGGUUUCUUGCUUGUAUGGCUUCAGGUAUCCUUUAUAAGUUUCCAAGUGACUCUUUGUUUCAGAAAGAUUCUCUCCAGAAGCCAUUCAUAAAGCACUUGUCAAAUCCCUUAAUAAAGCAUUGGAAGCCAAGUUCACUAGGCUUGAAACACAUAAUCAGUUGGCAAUAGACUGAUGUCCAGCCCCUGAAUUUUUAACUGCUGCAGCACUGAGAGGCCCAGCAAUGAAAGGGUGAUUGCCCACUCCAAGUCUCCCAAUCUGAGAAGAGCCACCAUGCCAUAGUCCCGCUCUGUCCUGCAGCUGUCUGUGUAUCUCCAAGCAUCCAUAUGUGUGAUCCAUCCACACAACAAUGCCCUCUGGUGACAUAUCGGUCAUGACAACCAUGAGAGCCAUGAGCAUGUCACAGGCACUGUGCUGUUACUCUAAGUCCAAUGACUUAAUGACUUUUGUUCCAGUGACAACCAUUUGAAAUGGGAAGAAUCAUCCCGCCUUACACAUUUCAAAAGAAGACUUUGGGUAAAUUAUGUAUCUUGUCUGUGGCCACACAGCUACUAACUGGCGAAGUAAGGAUUUCUAUCUUCUUCUUACCCAAGCCCCCAGCCAUCAGCUGUGUCAUUUCUAUUGAGACGCUGGCUUCCCUAAAGCCACUGUUAGAGUCUGCAAAACAUGGGCCACAGACAGCUUUUAAAUAUGGGAUGAUAAUUCUUGCCUACUGAGAUUCUUUUUAAAAACCCAGAGGAAGAGUAUAUUUAUAUAUUUAUUUAACAUUCAUGUGCAAUGUUUACAUUUACAAAGUGUUUUACAGUAUAAUAGAACGGGCACAAAUUUUUUUCUGGGCAUGUAAUUGUCUUUUCUUUCAUAUUCAUUUAUUCCUUUGAUUUAUAUAAUAUGUUCUCCAUGUGGUCUUCUGAGAUCAUGUACAAUUGUAACAAAUUCAGAAUAAUAUUAAUAAAAGAUUAUUUUGUAUCACUCAUAGGGAAAACUGAUUAAAGCCAUGCAUGUCUCUGCUCUUCAUAAAUAUUAUGCAGAAAAACUUUGUAUCAUCCCCAGAAUAUUGUCUGUAACAUCAGCUGUGCUAAAUUUUAAAAUAUACUUGGCUCUCAGUUAUCA